CCUCCGCUCGUGCCCCACGCUCGACCUCGAGAACAAGAAAAAGGUAAAACCCUAGCCGCCAAACCUUCUCCUCCCCACUCCAUCCUCUCCCACGCCGCCACACCCUCUCCUCACGCGCCUCAGCGCCCUCCCCUCCUCCCUGUGCCGCCGGCCCCCUUCCUUCUCCCCGCGCUAGAGCAGAGAUGCGCCUCAGUAUGGGUAGAACGCCGGGCAGCAGUACCGUCUCCAUGGACGCGGCGGCGUGACGGCUCCCAGGCACGGAUCCCCUCCUCCGCCUCCAUCCUCCACCUCUCCGGUCGCCCUGUUGCAACCUCUGGAGCAGCAGCAACUGAUUUCCAUCUUCCAGUUCAUGUAAAUGGCCUUGUUGUGGUUGCACGGUGGUCCGUGGGGAACAGGAGCAAAUACCUUUGCUACAACCGAGGUCUUGACAGACCAGUCAGUUAG
rnacentral:rRNA from 1 species